UCCGUGUUUAUGCGUGUGUAGGUGUGUACAUUUAGCAAAAAAAAAAUAAAAACGGAAAACGGUUAGCGAUUUCGUCGAAGGAAAAAAGUAAUUCCUGUACGGUUGCUAGUAUUUCGCCAGCAGUCCAGCAGUGGUAAAAAGCACAACCGGUUUUCCUCAAAACGGUUCCUGGCGGCGAUCAAUGGUGGAAGUGCUGUUGCUGGAGUUCCGCAAGCAAUUCCUGGAAUCGCACCGGUCAAUGCGCUUUUCAGCAAACCAAAAAGCCGUUUCCUGUACGUGUUCCUGUCUGCGGUCGUAGUGCUGAUGCUCGGCCAGAAGUUCCUUACAUUUUUCUUAGCCGCUAUUCGGCUGCCGGCAAAACUGUUUCCGGCAUCGAAAUCGAUAAGAGAAUCGAUAGGGGAACGCAAGUCUUCCAUAUUUUCCUCAAUAACAGCGGCUUUAGUGCCUGUGGCGUGCAUCCUGGGAAAUUCAUUUUCAUCGGAAAAAAACGACGAAGGCCCGAUGGCAAGACGAAACUCACCGGCCGAGCUGCGAAAUGCUAAGAAUUCCCAUAGGAAACUCAAAAGGAUUGGGAAUUUUCUCCAAAGUGUUCCAAAGCUGAAUCUACAACAGCGGAAGGCUAUGCUUGCUGUUGGUUCGGAAAAUCAGAUAAGCGUCUGGAAGAAAGAAUUGCUUUGAACAAGCUCUGGUAACCUAAGCAACACAAAAUACCGAUCAUCAUGUCCUUUUACGAAAUGUCAAUUUCCAGCGGAUGCAGCAGCUUACCAAUGUUUUAAAUGGAAUCCUCAGGACGCCUUCAGUUAACAGCUUCCCGGUACGGUACCAAUCAGCAGAAGCUUUAAAGGAUAACAAUCUGUUAGGCAGACCUAUAAGAACAGCAUGAAUUGGACAGAAUCGUGGCGGCUUCAAAGAAUCACACAGGCUGAUCCGAAACCGAUGGCCAACUUUAAGCUGCUGGACGAAACUAAAAUAUAAUUCGAAAUAUCGAAAGUAUAGGAAUUGGUUGUGAGAAUGUGAUUUUUUUAAAUAAAGUAUAAGAAUGAAACAA